AGAUAGAAAGUUACUUCGGUUACAUCGGUGACAGGUGGUGCAUGGUUGUCGUCAGCUCGUGUCGUGAGAUGUUGGGUUAAGUCCCGCAACGAGCGCAACCCCUAUUGUUAGUUGCCAUCAUUCAGUUGGGCACUCUAGCGAGACUGCCGGUAAUAAACCGGAGGAAGGUGGGGAUGACGUCAAAUCAUCAUGCCCCUUAUGACCUGGGCUACACACGUGCUACAAUGGUUGGUACAACGAGUUGCGAGUCGGUGACGGCGAGCUAAUCUCUUAAAGCCAAUCUCAGUUCGGAUUGUAGGCUGCAACUCGCCUACAUGAAGUCGGAAUCGCUAGUAAUCGCGGAUCAACACGCCGCGGUGAAUACGUUCCCGGGCCUU
rnacentral:rRNA from 1 species